rnacentral:lncRNA from 1 species
UUCUCUUGUCUCUUUCUGUUAUCUUUUUUGCGAUUCUCUUUCUCUCUUCCUCUCGCUUUGUGUCUCUCUCUUGUUCCUCUCUUUCUCUUAGCUAUUCUUAUUGAAUCUAGAUGGUCAAAGAUUCAUACAACGCCAAAUCGAGAUGGAGAAGAACUCAUAUAAGGGCAUUUGUGUGCAAAUCCUAGUCAAUUGAUAAAAUAGGAAAGACAAGCAAGAUGGGUUAAUCCCAGCUGCAGUUUAUUAUUUUCAUCAAUUUGUGUUUCUUUUAUUUCUAUUUUCUUAAUUUUUCUGAUAUUUCCAUCUCUUGAAUUAUUUUGUGAUUGUGUUUUUGAAUUAG